rnacentral:tRNA from 1 species
AAUGAAGUGCCUGAUAAAAGGAUUAUUUUGAUAGAAUAAACCAUGUAGAAUUUUCUACCUUCAUUA